GAUUCCGGGUCAAUCACAGGGCGCCAGUAGCCGUUUCCGGUUCCGGUGUAAACGGGCCCGGCUUUGAGCGGCAGACCCUGCAGGUGACGCUGCGGAGCGGAGGCCCCGGCGGCAUGAAUCGCCCGAAGCCGGCCACGGUUCGCCGUCCCAGCGCGGUGCCCAAGCCCUCGGCUCAUCCUCCACCAGGAGAUUUUAUUGCCUUGGGGUCGAAAGGCCAGGCCAAUGACUCUAAAGCUGCUGUCACACUGCUUAAGCCAGCCCCAGCUGGAUUGCCCUCUGAGCGUAAACGGGAGGGGUCCGCUGCUUUAUCUAGUGCAUCCAGCCUGACGGGAUUGACCAAACGCCCCAAACUCUGCUCCACGCCUCCCCUGAGUGCCCUAGGACGUCUGGCAGAGGCUGCAGUGGCUGAGAAACGGGCCAUUUCACCCUCAAUAAAGGAACCGUCUGUGAUUCCAAUUGAAGUUGUCCCCACGGUGCUGGUGGAUGAGAUUGAAGCAGCUGAGGCAGAGGGCAAUGAUGACCGCAUUGAGGGGGUGCUGUGUGGAGCUGCGAAGCAGCUGAAAAUGAACAGAGCCAAGCCUGAUCCCACGUUGUACUUGAGUCUGAUGUAUCUGGCAAAAAUCAAACCCAAUAUAUUUGCCACCGAGGGGGUUAUUGAGGCACUGUGUAGCCUCCUCCGGCGAGAUGCCUCCAUCAACUUCAAAGCCAAAGGGAACAGCCUGGUGUCCGUCUUGGCCUGUAACCUUCUUAUGGCGGCUUACGAGGAGGACGAGAACUGGCCAGAGAUCUUUGUCAAGGUUUACAUUGAGGACUCGCUUGGAGAGCGCAUCUGGGUGGACAGCCCUCACUGCAAGACGUUUGUGGAUAACAUCCAGACAGCCUUCAGUACAAAGAUGCCCCCGAAGAGCAUGCUGUUGCAUGGGGAAGUUGGCCGCAGUGGAGGUGAUCUUAGUGCAGGGAGUAGCCCCCACCCCGCCAUGGCAGAGGAGGAAGAUAGCCAGAGUGAGUUGCUGAUUGCAGAGGAGAAGAUGAGUCCAGAGCAGGAGGGACAGCUUAUGCCCAGAUACGAAGACCUCGCGGAGAGUGUGGAAGAAUAUGUCUUGGACAUGCUACGGGACCAGCUCAACCGGCGGCAGCCAAUGGAUAACGUCUCCAGGAACCUCCUUCGACUGCUGACGGCUACUUGUGGCUAUAAAGAGGUCCGGCUGAUGGCUGUUCAGAGGCUUGAGAUGUGGUUGCAGAACCCAAAGCUGACCAGACCAGCCCAGGACUUGCUAAUGUCAGUCUGUAUGAACUGCAACACACAUGGGUCUGAGGACAUGGAAGUCAUUUCCAACCUGAUCAAAAUCCGUCUCAAACCCAAAGUCCUUCUCAACCACUACAUGUUGUGUGUCAGAGAGCUGCUGAAUGCUCACAGGGACAACCUGGGUACCAUGGUCAAGUUUGUGAUUUUCAAUGAACUUUCAAAUGCAAGAAACCCCAACAACAUGCAGAUUCUCUACACAGUGCUACAGCACAGCUCCGAGCUAGCACCAAAGUUCCUGGCGAUGGUGUUCCAGGAUUUGCUGACUAAUAAGGAUGAUUACCUGCGGGCCUCGCGGGCACUGCUGCGAGAGAUCAUCAAACAGACGAAACAUGAGAUCAACUUCCAGGCUUUCUGCUUGGGGCUCAUGCAGGAGCGGAAGGAGGCCCAGUAUACAGACAUGGAAUUCAAGGAGCGGUUUGUCAUCCACAUAACUGACCUGCUGGCUGUCUCCAUGAUGCUCGGCAUCACGGCUCAGGUGAAGGAGGCUGGGAUUGCAUGGGACAAAGGAGAGAAAAAGAACUUGGAGGUGCUGCGUUCCUUCCAGAACCAGAUUGCUGCCAUCCAGCGAGAUGCUGUCUGGUGGCUCCACACAGUGGUUCCAUCUAUCAGCAAACUGGCUCCGAAGGACUACGUGCACUGUCUUCACAAGGUGCUGUUCACAGAGCAGCCAGAGACCUACUACAAGUGGGACAACUGGCCCCCUGAGAGUGACCGCAACUUCUUCCUGCGACUCUGCUCUGAGGUGCCUAUCCUUGAAGACACGCUCAUGCGGAUCCUUGUCAUUGGUUUGUCACGGUCUCCCCUUGGCCCUGCUGAUGCCAUGGAGCUUGCUGACCACUUGGUGAAGCGGGCGGCAGCUGUGCAAGCAGACGAUGUAGAGGUCCUGAGGGUGGAGAGAAUCCAGCUGAUCGAUGCAGUCUUAAAUCUGUGUACUUACCAUCAUCCGGAGAACAUCCAGCUGCCCCCAGGGUAUCAGCCUCCAAAUCUAGCCAUCUCUACCCUCUACUGGAAGGCUUGGCCUCUCCUUCUGGUAGUGGCCGCAUUCAACCCUGAAAACAUUGGGUUGGCUGCCUGGGAGGAGUAUCCCACACUAAAGAUGCUCAUGGAAAUGGUCAUGACUAAUAAUUACUCCUAUCCCCCCUGCACUCUGACGGAUGAGGAGACCCGCACAGAGAUGAUUAAUCGUGAGCUCCAAAUAUCCCAGCGGGAAAAGCAGGAAAUUCUUGCAUUUGAGGGUCAUCUGGCUGCUGCAUCUACAAAGCAGACUAUUACAGAGAGCAGCAGCCUCUUGCUGUCCCAGCUCACCAGUCUGGACCCCCAGGGCCCCCCACGCAGACCUCCGCCACAUGUCCUGGAGCAGGUGAAAAGCCUAAAUCAGUCCCUCCGCUUAGGACAUCUCCUGUGCCGCAGCCGCCACCCAGACUUUCUCCUCAACAUCAUUCAGAGGCAGGCCUCGUCCCAAUCAAUGCCAUGGCUAGCAGACCUGGUUCAGUCCAGUGAGGGCUCCUUGGAUGUUCUUCCAGUGCAAUGUCUUUGUGAGUUCCUGCUGCAUGAUGCUGCUGAUGAAUCUGCCUCAGGCGAGGAAGAGGAGGAGGGAGAAAGUAAAGAGCAGCGUGCCAAGAAACGUCAGAGACAGCAGAAGCAGAGGCAGCUGCUUGGGCGCCUGCAGGACUUGCUCCUGGGCCCCAGAGCUGAUGAGCAGACCACUUGUGAGGUGUUGGACUACUUCUUGCGGCGCCUCAGUUCCUCUCAGGUGGCCUCCCGAGUGCUGGCCAUGAAGGGUCUGUCCUUGGUGCUGUCGGAAGGGGGAUUGCGUGAUAGAGAGGAAAAAGAGCACCCUAUGGAGGAAGAUUCUGGUGACUCUGAGCUCCUGCAGGGAUACCAGUGGCUGCUAAGAGACCUGCCAAGGCUGCCGUUGUUUGACAGUGUUAGGGCAACUACAUCUAUUGCCUUGCAACAGGCCAUCCACAUGGAGACCGAUCCUCAGACCAUCAGUGCUUAUUUGGUGUACCUAUCCCAGCACGCCCCCAUAGAGGAUCAGGGGCAGCACAAUGACCUCUCUCUGGAUGUGGCCAGGCUCAUAGUGGAACGCUCCACCAUCAUGUCUCAUCUCUUCUCGAAACUCUCAUACUGUGCUGAGUCAGAGGCAGUGCUGGUUGCUCUGCUCUCCAUCUUCUCUUGCUACGUUAAGCGCAUGCGCCAGAGCAAGGAAGGGGAGGAGGUGUACAGCUGGUCUGAGUCCCAGGAUCAGGUGUUCCUUCGCUGGAGUAGUGGGGAAACAGCCACUAUGCACAUUCUUGUGGUCCAUGCGAUGGUCAUUCUGUUGACACUGGGACCACCUCAAGCAGGGGAAGGUGACUUUUGUGCCUUGCUGGACAUUUGGUUCCCAGAGAAGAAGCCCCUCCCCACUGCCUUUCUUGUUGACACUUCAGAGGAGGCCCUGCUGCUUCCUGACUGGCUGAAGCUGCGCAUGAUCCGCUCCGAGGUCCCUCGCCUAGUGGAUGCAGCACUGCAGGAUCUGGAACCGCAGCAACUGCUUCUCUUUGUUCAGUCCUUUGGGAUCCCAGUCUCCAGUAUGAGUAAACUCCUGCAGUACCUGGAUCAGGCAGUGUCUCACGACCCACAGACGCUGGAGCAGAACAUCAUGGACAAGAAUUACAUGGCUCAUCUUGUGGAGGUUCAGCAUGAGAGAGGAGCUACGGGGGGGCAGACCUUCCACUCUCUGCUCACCACUUCCCUGCCAGCAUGCCGAGAUGGUGCUGACACUCCAAAGCCCAAAACUAGUCCUGAGACCCCACAAGGACAGAGUAGGAUCCGGGCGUUGACUCAGAUCCGGGUCCUGGGUCCUGAGGAUGACCUGGCGGGCAUGUUUCUUCAGCUGUUCCCACUGAACCCGGAUCCCCGGUGGCAGAAUUCGAACCCGCGCCCCAUCUCCCUGGCGUUACAGCAGGCACUGGGUCAGGAAUUGGCUCGCAUCCGCCAAGGGAACACACAGGUGACAGGGAUUUCAGUGCGUCUUCUCCAGGCAGUGGCAGCAUUGAUGAACUCUCCACAUAGCGGGGCUCUGGUGAUGGCCAUGCACCGAAACCACUUUAUCUCCUGCCCACUGCUGCGUCAGCUGUGCCAGUACCAGCGCUGCGUACCCCAAGACACCGCCUUCUCCUCGCUCUUCUUUAAAGUCCUCAUGCAGAUGCUGCAAUGGCUGGAGAAUCCUGCUGUGGAAGAUGGUCCUCUGCGUGCUCAGCUCAAGUCCUUUGCUGUGCAGUACUCUUCAAGGCAUAGGAUCAGUGAUGUUCGAGGUGGGUUCCUGCACCUGGCAGAAGCACUGGCAUUCCGUCGUGACCCUGAUGUGAUCAGCUCCACUGUGCGAGCCAUCAUGGCAACCCUGAAAUCUGGAGAGAAGUGUAAUGUGGAGCCAGAACUCAUCAGCAAAGUCCUUCAAGGUCUGAUUGAAACACAGUCUCCUUACAUGGAGGAGCUUCUGACUGUCCUCUUCUCGGUUACCAUUGAGACCACAGCCAGGUUCCCUGCCAUGAGACCAAUUGCUGUGGUGAGCUCUCUGCUGCUCCAGGAGAAAGAGGAGACACCUGUGAAGAAGGAGUUGGAUAGCAGCAGUGCUGAAGCUGCUCGUCUAGGGCCCUCCUCGGGCCUUCUCAAUGACUGGCUGGAGAUGCUGGACCCUGAAGUAAUCAGCAGCUGCCCAGACCUCCAGCAAAAGUUGCUGUUCUCCUGGAACACGACUAAAGGUUAUUCUGGGUCUCAGGUGCCCUCUUUUCGCCCAUAUCUGUUGGCUCUCCUAACUCACCAGUCCAGCUGGACAACAUUGCACCAGUGCAUCAGGAUUCUGCUUUGCAAAAACCGGGAGCAAAGGUUUGACCCGACUGCAUCCUUAGAUUUCUUGUGGGCCUGUAUUCACAUCCCUCGGAUCUGGCAGGGAAGGGACCAGAGAACUCCUCAGAAACGUCGAGAGGAGUUCGUGCUCCAGUUAAAGGCAUCAGAGUUGAUCAGUUUGGUUGAGCUGAUCUUGGCUGAGUCCGAAACCAGAAGCCAGAAUACAGAGGAAGCCUCCUGCACGCUCAUCCAAUCACGGUUACCCCUGUUGCUCAGCUGUUGUCAUGGAGACCUAGAGAGUAUUAAAAAAGUAACAGAGUAUCUGACGGGCUGUAUCCAGCAGUGGGGCAGCAGCUCAGUGGGAAAACGCUGCCAGGACCUUCUUCUGCAGCUCUACCUGCAGCUGCCGGAGCUCCUUGUGCCCAUGCCUGAGACACUGCUGACCAGGGAAGGGGCUGCAGACAGCAGUACCUGCAAACUUGAUGCCCUGGUUCACAGAUUCAUCACCCUCCUCGCAGAAGCCAGCGAUUCCAAGUCAGCUGAGAGCCGUGUGUGGGAUGCCAACAUGGCAUGCAGGAAGCUAGCUGUGGCUCACCCCAUCCUUCUGCUUAGACACUUGCCAAUGAUCGCAGCUCUGCUUCAUGGGCGGGUACAUCUCAAUUUCCAGGAGUUUCGGCAACAGAACCACCUGACUUUCUUCAUCCAUGUCCUGGGGAUCCUGGAGCUGCUUCAGCCACAGGUGUUCCAGAGUGAGCACCAGGGGGCGCUAUGGGACUGUCUUCUCUCCUUCAUUCGCCUGCUACUGAAUUACAGGAAGUCCUCACGUCAUCUGGCUGCCUUCAUUACCAAAUUCGUCCAGUUCAUUCACAAGUACAUCACGUGCAAUGCCCAGGCUGCUGUGUCUUUCCUGCAGAAACAUUCUGACCCGCUCCAUGACCUGUCAUCAGAUAACAGUGACCUAGUGAUGCUGAAAUCUCUCCUGGCUGGGCUAAGCUUGCCCAGUAAGAGUGGUGUCUUGGACAGAGGCUCUGAAGAAGAAAAGGAUGAUGAAGCAGCUGCCGGCUCUCUGCCCCUGGUCAGUGUGUCCCUCUUCACUCCCCUCACUCCAGCGGAAAUGGCCCCAUACAUGAAGAGACUCUCCAGGGGCCAGACUGUGGAGGAUAUCCUGGAGGUGCUGAGUGAUGUUGAUGAGAUGUCCAGACGGAGACCAGAAAUUCUCUCCUUUUUUGCUACUAACCUGCAAAGAUUGAUGAGCUCUUCAGAAGAGUCCUGCCGGAAUCUGGCCUUCAGCCUGGCUCUGCGCUCAAUUCAGAACAACCCCAGCAUUGCUGCUGAUUUCCUCCCCACUUUCAUGUACUGCCUUGGCAGCCGAGACUUUGAGGUGGUGCAGACAGCGCUGAGAAACCUUCCUGAAUACACCCUUCUCUGCCAAGGUGCAGCAGCUCUGCUCGUGUCCCUAGUUGGAGGAUGUUCGGCUCAGAAUACAUGGUGUCCUCGCUCCCGGCUGCAUCUCGCUUCUACGGCCCUGCUUUUUCAGCCCAGCUCGCAUCCGCUCCUGUCUGCAGCCUCUUCCUCCCAGCUCCCCUUUUCAGCUACCAGCUCUUCCAGCCCUGCAGCCCUCCGGAGCCCUGCAAACAAGCACUGCUGCUGGCAAGCCAAGAUGCAGGUUUGGGGGAGCUGGGGGACUUCUCAGAGGAAGCUCGCCCGCAGAAGCAGAGACGAGCCCGAGCCAAUUACAGCAGCUGGCAGCUGGAGGAGCUGGAAUCAGCCUUUGAGACCACGCGCUACCCUGACGUCUUCAUGAGGGAGGCCCUAGCCCUCCGGCUAGACCUGAUAGAGGCCAGGGUUCAGCCCUGUCGAUGUUCCAGCCCCAUUGGCACUGGUGCCCGAGGAACCCACCUCGGACCAGGGAAGGUUUGGUUCCAGAACCGCAGGGCGAAGCUGAGGAGACAACUGAAACUGCAGGGACGAGCUCUGGACCGAGCUCUCACUAGGGACUUGUCUGUCUCAGGACACAAGAAGCCCCAAGCCCCCCAGGAAAUCGAAGGUUCAAGUAAGAGCUCUAGAGUUGGAACACUGGAAGGAGACUCAGAUCACUGGCCAAGCACUGGCCCCAAAGGGCAGCCUCCUCCUGGACCUCCCCUGUGCAGGGGAGCUGAGGCCACCGGGGCGGCCACAGCCAGAGGAAAUUUGCUCCUGCAGCACCCCCAGCUUGUGGGUCAAGGCACAAGAGUAUGAGGCUGUAAUUGACCCCCACUGCAGCUCAGGAGCAGCCUGACUCAGAACCAGACCCAGCAGAGCUCUGGGCAUACAUGGAUAGUGCCUGAAACUGAUCCUGACAUCAGUCCCCCUUCCCGUACCUCUCCAACCUCUGGGCCUUGGACCUUUGCUCCCAAACAAAGACCGUAUCCAUUUCUUCAGGGGGCUAUAGUCACCAUGAAUGGAGCAGGGAGCAUCAGAGGCAUUAUAGGGGCUUCCCAAGCCCACUGUGGGCUGUUGUCCAGCCUUGUCCAUCUCUGAUCACCCUUGGUGCCUCCCUGUUUGGUAGCUGUUGCCUGAACUCCUUUCUCUCUGAUUGGCAUCUGCAUUACACUUCCCAGCACCUGCACUCAACUGGGACAACAGCAUGUGCAGAGACUUUGGGUCUAAGAUACCCUGGUUAAAAUCCUUCCAUAUUUGACCAGGGACAGACCCAUCCCCUUCUCCAGGCUUAUUUCUCAGGAUCCCUUCACUAGAACACAUGCAUUAGCGCAUCGUUAGCAGGGGGAUGUCACCUCUCUACUCUGGGUUGUCUUCUUCAAAUUAAGCUACUUUUGUCAUAGGCUCUGAUCCAAUGAGCCUGUGUUUGGUAGGGUUGCCAAUUUUGAUUGGAUGUAUUCUUGGAGGUUUCAUCACAUGACAUAAUCUUUAAUUAAAGAUUAAUUCCUGGAGAGUCCAGGGCAAUCCUGGAUGGUUGGCACACUGUUGGAUGCUUAGCUGGGGCCUUGGAGCCCUUAAGCAAUAGAAUGGGAGAAGUAUGAAGCAGGCAGACUCCUGCUCUUCACACUGUAGCAUGGCUCUUGGGACCAUGUGGAGUUCUCACCUGCUGUCCAGAGCCAGGUAGGGUGACCAGAUAUCCUGAUAUUGUCAGGCCUGUCCCAUUAUUAGGAGCUUUGUCUUAUAUAUGCAACUAUCCCUCCCCCUGGAAAAAAGUGUCCCGAUUUUUCACACUUGCUAUCUGGUCACCCUAGAGCUAGGGUCCCUUUCCAUUGUUCAACUCGGUGCCUUGUGGCUUCCUGGCUAUUCCCUCCCCUCUAUACCUCCCACGACCACUAGAGGGCCUUGAGGUUCUGCCAGGUGUUACAGCUCCUUAGAAGGUGCCUGAGCUGUGUGUGCUGGGGGAGACCAUGAUUCCUCUAAAUUCACCAGUGGCUGGACGUUUGUUUCUAGUCAAACGCUGUGAGGUGCUGAUGUGCGGGAGAUUCCAGAGGAGUGUCGUGAGGUGGGGGGUUGGUAUUAACCAGAGCUAGCUGCUUGACAGAGGCAUAGCAUCUGUCCUUCCAGUCCUCCCACUGUCUGUAAAGGGCUGCGGGGAGUAUCUGAAGCAGCUUCUGAGGAUGAGGAAGGGAAACAAAAGUCUGACUUCUCUGCAGUCUGGCUGAGCCAAUGUCAUUGGUCCUAGCAUAGGGCUAGUGGGCGGGGGGGAAGGUGAGCCCCUUUGUUCCCAUCGAUUCUUUCCCAUCAGUCUGGUCAAAAUGCUCCAGCAUAGCCACGGACAGAGGAGACAGACUGUACUCUGAGGGCCAAUUCUGCAUUGGCUGUGGGGACCAGAGACCGUUCCGUCCCCUAGAAGCUCAUGAUCCUGUGAUGAAUGGAAAGGGGCACGAGAAGUAAAGUAAGAUGAAAGAGGAAGCACAAUACAUUGCUCAACCAGACUCAAUAAGCUGGCACUCUUCCCUGUUCAUGGUCUCUACCACCAGCUUUCUGGUGUCAGAUGCGGAGCAGAAGUAUUGGAUUAUUAGAGAUGCUGCUGCCUUUAAAGUGAUUUGCUUUUUCUUCCUGUUGGAUGAUGAUCAAAUAAGUCCUAGAAAAUAAACUGGUUCAUAGAACUGUUCUAGAGUCACACGGUGUAUUGUGGAAACUCCCUCUCUGUCCCCCACUGAUCAGAGAGCAAAGACACUAGGCCAGGAAUAUGAGUCAGACGUGGGCUAAGAAUCAUGUGUUCCUGUCUCAAGUUGCCCAGCGCGCAGAAGUGAAGAAAUACGUUUCCAAAGGCAGAGCUGAUGGGAGAAAGGAAAGUUUUGAGCUGAGCAAUAACAACAGAGCAGCCUGUAACGCUACUUGCAGGAUACACAUGCUGUAUGAGUGGCAUUCAGUGCCCAAGAGCCAGAUGGCUGAAUGAUAACAGAGCUCAUUACCUGUGCACAUGUAAAUGCCCGUGUGCCCAUGUAUAGGGGAGUGUCUGUCAGCAUGCAUGUACUCAUAUGUUUGCAGGCCGGCACACACAUGUAAGCAUAUGAGCAAGCGUCUCCAUUCAGGGCCUUCUUUCAGGGGAAUCUGUGUGCUGGGGAAAAGAUUCACGCCAGAUUUUACUGCUAUUAUGGCCCUGCCUGUAUGAAUCUCUUCCCAGUCAAAAGGCUGCUCUCCGACAAUCGGCAGGGCAGGGGCUGUCUCUUGGUUGUGUGUUUGUACAGUGCCUAGCACAGAGGGGUCCUGGUGGGGCACUAUCUCCAUACAGCUAAUAAAUAAUAGGAACCAC